rnacentral:rRNA from 1 species
AACGCUGGUGGCGCGCCUAACACAUGCAAGUCGAGCGCCUCACUUUCGGGUGGGGAGCGGCGCACGGGUGAGUAACGCGUGGGAAUCUACCCUGGGGUUCGGGACAACGGCGGGAAACUGCCGCUAACACCGGAUACGGCCUUUUGGCGGAAAGUUUACGCCCUGGGAUGAGCCCGCGUCCGAUUAGCUUGUUGGUGAGGUAACGGCUCACCAAGGCUUCGAUCGGUAGCCGGUCUGAGAGGAUGAUCGGCCACACUGGGACUGAGACACGGCCCAGACUCCUACGGGAGGCAGCAGUGGGGAAUCUUGGACAAUGGGGGCAACCCUGAUCCAGCGACGCCGCGUGGGUGAUGAAGGCCUUCGGGUUGUAAAGCCCUUUUGUCGGGGACGAUGAUGACGGUACCCGGCGAAUAAGCACCGGCUAACUCCGUGCCAGCAGCCGCGGUAA